UCAAAAUAACGAUAUCAUAACUUAUUUUAGAUAACUAUAUCAUAUUACAAAGAGUCACAAGAACGGUUACAAGAAUAUAAGCUACACAAUACAACAUCAUGAAAACAAUUUGACCACUUGAUUCCAACCCCUCAACUUUAAACUUCUUGACACAACUGUAUGGAACUUAAGAAAAGUUGACUAACAUGUUGACUUGACUUCCACUUUACACAUAACAGUGUUCAUGCUCAGCUUCAACUAGUUUUCCUUUUAUACAAACAUCCUUAUUCCAGUAAUCUGCAGUUUGCAUCAAAAGGAAUUUAAAAGUCUGACUGAAGCAUUUCAUCAAACACAUGGAAUGGAAUUCAUCAAAUCAAAUACAUGAUCAUUUUCCAUCUUAGUUUCAUUUACACAAUGAUGCUCUUUUGGAAGAAUCUUUAAGUUUGACUUUUGACUUUUGAAGUCAAGCAUGUUACCUUUUGAGUUCAUGAUUA
rnacentral:lncRNA from 1 species